AAAACAUGUCUUUUUGAUAAAAAUUAAAAGUCAGGUCUGCUCACUGAAUAAUUUUAAAGAGCCGCAGUAUACUGACUGUGCAAAGGUAGCAUAAUCAAUAGUUUUUUAAUUGAAAACUGGAAUGAAAGAUUAGACGAAAAAUUAAUUUUCUUUAUUUUAAUAAAUUUAAUUUUAAAUUUAAGUGAAAAUGCUUAAAUACAAUUAAAAGACGAGAAGACCCUAUAGAUUUUUAUUAUUGGAAUAAAUUUAUAAAUACGAUUUAAUAAAAUAAUUUAAUUGGGGUGAUUUUAUAAUAUAGAUAACUUAAUUUCUUAAAACCAUAAAUGAUUGAAUUUUUGAUCUAAAACUUUUAAAGAAAAGAUUAAAUUACCUUAGGGAUAACAGCGUAAUUUUAUUUAAGAGUUCAUAUCUAUAAUAAAGUUUGCGACCUCGAUGUUGAAUUAAGAUAAUAUAUUGGAGUAGAAAUUAAUAUAAUUAGUCUGUUCGACUAUUAAAUUCUUACGUGAUC
rnacentral:rRNA from 1 species